AACAUGGUGCCUUUUCUUUAGCCCCGAGCAGCCGCGCCGCCAGAGGUCGCGAACCUGCCGCCACCUCGACUCCUCCGUGUCUGGUGCGCCGCUGGAGCACCCGUCGCGUGCCGGCGAGCUCACCAGCGAGCAGCAGCCGUCCUCCUGUCUUGCCUUUUUGCCGUCCUUCCCUGCUCCUCUCUCACCUCUCUCUGCCUCACCUCCACAGGGACAUCAGGACGCCGCCGGCGCGCGGAACGAAGCCGCCCCAAUUGGAUCCACGCCCUCCACCAUCGCCCGCUCUCCUACCGUCUAUCCUCACCUCGAAUCGGUCACGCUGAUAGCCGUCGAUGCCAGAUCCUAGCUUGGCCACCCGCUGAAAGAUCCAGCACCCUAUGCCUUGCGACCUCGCGCCUCUCACCGUCGAGGGCGGUAGGAACGAUGGAGUCGUGCAUGUGCCGGCUCCUAUGUGGUGCGUGCAGAGCCACCGGCUUGAGAAACGGCUGCAGGCCUGGAGCGCGCCCUGCCUCGAGCAGCAUGCAUGCAUGGCUGGCGGCCGAGACAUCAGAGGAGCUUCAGCAGGUGGCGGUGAUCCAAAAUUACUCCUUCCAGUACAACAGAAACGAGUCUGCCGAGCCAAAUUUGCUGAACCAGGCUGCCAAGUUUGAGGUAAAAAACUCAGCAGGGAAGUAUCUAUCCUGAAUUUUCUGCACUACAUAAAUUUACCCAUAGAAUAUAUCUCUAAUAGUACCCUGUCCAAAAUGUUAGUGCUAUUUCUGCAAUUUAGCAAGCCAAAUUUUUCCCAAGUGCAUUCCAUAAUAUAUCUCUAAUAGUAUCUCUCCAUUGCUAUUUCCGAGAUCUUCCAUCAAUUUCUAUUACAAUAGAAAAAUGGUCCCUGUCACAUAUAUAGUAUGCACUGGGCAAUCAUGAUUCAUGGGCAGCUUAUAUAUACAAUGGUUGAUAACAAUUACUUCAGGGUAUCCAUUCUACUAUUUUUUACAUACUCAACAAAUUUGUGACGUCUGAUCUGGUAGAGAAAACAAUUCGAGAUAUUAUGUUCUUACCUACAUAAUUCCGUAUUGAUGACUUAGCAUUCAGCAUGAUUUAGUUUCUAGCUUGUAUACAUUAGUAUUAUUAUGAGCUACCUAGAAAGUUUUCGGGCUUUUAGUUUCAGUUAUGCUCAUGGAGUGCACACGAUUCACAGAAUAUAAAACUGCACCAAGCAUUAAUUUUACACGCGUGAAGCUUUUUACAAUUAAUUCCUACUAUGGAAAAAUCAUUCAUCAGCUAGCUGAAUGAACAUACACUGUAUGACAAUGCGAAUAAGCACACUAAAUAUUACGAGUCAUAGUACUUCCAAGCUAUUUUUACAAAUGCAUUUCACUGGACUAUGUUCUGAUUACCUUUUUCUUAAGCUUCAGAAGGUUAUUUUGGAUUGAAAUGACAAUUUGCAACUUUUCACCUUUUUAAUAGUACUGAGGACCACAUUUAGAAAAUUCAAGGGUGGUGAGUUCAAUCAGGUGAAAAAUUGUAGGUCGAACAUGAAAGGAUGCACAUUCGUUUUUGAAGAUUGAAAAUAACGUUUCAUGAAGCAAACUUGAGAUAUUCUGCUAAUGAUAGGAAGCGUGGUUGAAAACUGCUCUGGCUGGAGUUGUAUGCUUUGUGACUCAAGACUAGAGACUGGUGUCACGGUGACUUGCACGCACUCCUGAUGGUCCUACCACCCACCUUUUGCUUUCUUGAAUUUUCUUAUUUUCAUAUUAACACUGCUAUUGGGGUCAAUCUCUGUUGUUUACUGCUCUAAUCAAGCUAUUGCUAGGAUUCCAUGUUUCCUACAUUGUAUUAUACUGAUCAUUAGUAAUUCAACCUACAUUGUAUUAUACUGGCCAUUAGUUGAAUGUUGAUUCUCUGAUAAUCUUAAUACAUCCAUGGCUGUUCAGGAAAUAGGGAAAAUGUAUAAACUGGUGAAAUAUCACACAGUAACCUCCUCUUAGAUCUGAGCUAAGAUUAUAUGGGUUCUACCGUGCAUGUUGAUACACAGUGCAUCGGGUUAAUGUGCCUCAGGCGUAAGGACUCAUGACAUAUUAACGAAUUACACAUGUUUGAGUUAAAAAGUGUACGUUUGUUUUUUUCUAUUACGAAACAUUUGAUGAUGUUUUGUUUUGAUCUUAAUCAAAAUGCUACAGAAAUGCAAGUCAAGGUUUAGUUACUAUAAUUUUACUUACUAUUAUUUCCACUCUGUUCUCUACAAAGAAAAAUAAAUUACGGAUAAAUUGCAGUGAUAAGCUAUCAAAAAGAGACAUACAUUUACUUAUAUUGUUCAAUAUUCAAUUGAUUGAUUUUUUUUUAGUUACGAAAGUGCGAUGUUUCAAAAAUGAAAAACGAACUCUUGGUUUAGUAAUUAACUAGGAAAUAUGCCCGUGCGUUGCAACGGGAAAAGUUUAGCAUACACAUCUAUCUCAAUAAUACACAAAAUCAAAUGAGUGACAACAAACUCAUAAGAGUGAUUACAUAUGAUAAUAAAAAUGUUGUGUACUUUGUGGACCGUCCAUACAAAUAUGCUU